rnacentral:rRNA from 1 species
AGCGAACGCUGGCGGCAGGCCUAACACAUGCAAGUCGAACGAACUCUUCGGGGUUAGUGGCGGACGGGUGAGUAACACGUGGGAACGUGCCUUUUGGUUCGGAAUAACUCAGGGAAACUUGUGCUAAUACCGAAUGUGCCCUUCGGGGGAAAGAUUUAUCGCCAUUAGAGCGGCCCGCGUCUGAUUAGCUAGUUGGUGAGGUAACGGCUCACCAAGGCGACGAUCAGUAGCUGGUCUGAGAGGAUGACCAGCCACACUGGGACUGAGACACGGCCCAGACUCCUACGGGAGGCAGCAGUGGGGAAUCUUGCGCAAUGGGCGAAAGCCUGACGCAGCCAUGCCGCGUGAAUGAUGAAGGUCUUAGGAUUGUAAAAUUCUUUCACCGGGGACGAUAAUGACGGUACCCGGAGAAGAAGCCCCGGCUAACUUCGUG